ensembl:lncRNA
ACCAGACUUUCCAGCAGUGAAAUCUGAUUGCCGGUUUCAAGCCCUCCUUCUGUUCCUCCUAAGCCUUCAGCAGCAAUCUGUAUCCAAGUCUGGAUAUAGAAAUGUCAUGAAGGGAGAGGACAGAGUGAAGCUAUGUGUACACCAGAACAGAUAUGUGUACACUAGUGUUGGGGUGUUUGGGGUGAACCGCCGCCUGAAGAAAAGUUACGUGAAGCAGGGGGACAAUCCAUGAAAUAGCCUGGAGCAGCUGUCCACAGUGACGAGUAACAGCAUUCUCCCUUCCCCAGGAUCUUGAGAAAUUUUUGGAAGGAAAAUACAUUUCCUGCUGUAUAUAGAAGAUGUGAUUUUAAAAUACGAUGAUGCUGACUGUUAUUAAAGGAACUGGUGGGUGGAAACAUCGGGAAUGCUUGGCAUGGACAUGAGGAGAACCCAGGGGUUGCCAUGAGCCUGAUACUCUGGUUCCUUCCUCCCAAACUCUGGGGGGCAAGAUUUCCAAGGCUCUGCCGAUGCCAAGUACACAUUGAUAUGACACAGAAUCCACCAAACAGAAUGGAUGCUGAUCAGAGUGAACACUGGCUGUUACUCAGGUGCUGUCAGCUGAGCAAUCUUGACAAUGCUCAAUGGUUUGACUUGAUGGGAUUGGAUCUUUGAAAAGGGAGUGCCACAGUUCAGAAAUUUUGCUCAUAUUUUGAUACGGCCUUUCAAAGCGAUUGUCUCACUAUGGACAGAAAAGAAACUGGGAGUCAAAGCUGAGCGAUGACUUGGACACCUGCCUGGCAUCCUCCUCUCCCCUCCCUGAACCACUGAAUCACACUGAUCCCAUCAAGAGUCCCCAAACACCUGAUUAAAGGUAAAUGAAAAAGACAUCCAUUCAAG